rnacentral:rRNA from 1 species
AACGAACGCUGGCGGCAUGCCCAACACAUGCAAGUCGAACGAGAUCUUCGGGUCUAGUGGCGCACGGGUGCGUAACGCGUGGGAAUCUGCCCUUUGGUUCGGAAUAACAGUGGGAAACGACUGCUAAUACCGGAUGAUGACGAAAGUCCAAAGAUUUAUCGCCAGAGGAUGAGCCCGCGUAGGAUUAGCUAGUUGGUGUGGUAAAGGCGCACCAAGGCGACGAUCCUUAGCUGGUCUGAGAGGAUGAUCAGCCACACUGGGACUGAGACACGGCCCAGACUCCUACGGGAGGCAGCAGUGGGGAAUAUUGGACAAUGGGCGAAAGCCUGAUCCAGCAAUGCCGCGUGAGUGAUGAAGGCCUUAGGGUUGUAAAGCUCUUUUACCCGGGAUGAUAAUGACAGUACCGGGAGAAUAAGCUCCGGCUAACUCCGUGCCAGCCGCCGCGGUAA